CCUACGGGCGGCAGCAGUGGGGAAUAUUGCACAAUGGGGGAAACCCUGAUGCAGCGACGCCGCGUGAGUGAAGAAGGAAUUCGGGAUGUAAAGCUCUAUCAGCAGGGAAGAAAAAGACGGUACCUGAGGAAGAAGCCCCGGCGACCUACGUGACAGCAGCCGCGGUAAUACGGAGGGGGCAAGCGUUAUCCGGAUUUACUGGGUGUAAAGGGAGCGUAGACGUCAGUGCCAGUCUGGAGUGACAGGCGGGGGCUCAACCCCCGGACUGCUCUUGAAACUGUACGGCUGGAGUGCAGGAGAGGUGAGUGUAAUUCCUGGUGUAGCGGUGACAUGCUUAGAUAUUACGAGGAACUCCAGUGGCGAAGGCGGCUUACUGGACUGUAACUGACGUUGCGGCUCGAAAGCGUGGGGAGCAAACAGGAUUAGAUACCCCAGUAGUC
rnacentral:rRNA from 1 species